ensembl:lncRNA
GCCGACACGAUUACAGGACGGGGGGAUGCAUAAAGGGAACAUUGUUCAAAAAGCAGGCCAGGCCUCCUCUGAAAAACUGUACUAAACACAACUCAUAUUGUGCUGCAUAUCUGCCUUUAUUAGCAAACGGGUGAAUAUGCAGGAGAAGUCAAGUUAUUUCCGCCGAGAUAUUGUUCGAACAGGCCGCAAAGGCCCGAGGGCGUCUUCAACACACCUAUUAACUCUCAGGCACUCGUAUAAAAAGCUGCGUUUGCCUUCACCACGGUGGCUGGAAGCCGUACGUAAUCUACCAAACCAAAGCCACUGUGUGUUUUACAAAUGAGCCGACCGUUCCCCUCGGGACCCUCGAGGCUGUUGACAUAAAGAUAUCAGCUUGAUCUGCGGGGGUUUGGCGCUUAUCCAUCUUUCAGAAGAUUGGGAUCUCUCUUCAAAAGCAGAGUCCAGUGCUUCCUAUCAUUACUGGGGAGUUAAAACCCCACAAUCGAGUCGAAAUUAUCUCUAUUGAUAACUGGCAAGGGAGAGGUUGAGCACUUAAUGACUUAAUAUGGAGGUAGGAUCAGUGGGGUGGGGGUCGGGGUGGACGUCUAUGAAGACGUGAUAAUUUGAGGAGACAGCCUGCAUGUGCGUACCGUGACAGCGAGCAGCACGGACCAGGUGUUUGAACUGCCUGAAUGCGGAAUUCAGCAUCCUUACGAAAGGGCUGACACCCUCCUUGUGUUUCCCCACAAAUACCUCCUGCAGGUUCCCCCCGACCAGCCGAGCAUGAAGCUGUGACUGCAAACUGCAAACGACUUUUUGACGUUCAUGUGUAAGGACUCUUCUAAAAAUGGAAUAUCCAAUUGACAAAAAAAAAAGCUCUGGCCUUCUUGCACCAACUGAGGUUUCAUUUGUUACCGAACUACCUGCCGGACAUUUAACUCAACGCAACAACAAACUGAAAGUUACUUCGAGGAAAAUACUUUUUUCGUGGUAAUGAUGUGUAAUCAACAGUGACCCCUUUUUUUAGGCGGUUGGUUCAAUGAACACAGAACUUGGGACUGGUGUUUCAACUCUGUGUCUGGAAAAAAAGGGUUUUGCUGCCUAAACCAUUAACAUUAGUUUGUAACCUGAUAUCCACUUGAAAGAGUCUAUCCAAGCCAAGAGGAAAACAAUGGAUUGAAUCUCAUGACUUUCUAAAAAACACUUAUACUUAUGGCUGGCUCAGGUUUGUAGUCAGGGCUGGCUCAGGUUUGUAGUUAGGGCUGGCUCAGGUUUGUAGUUAGGGCUGGCUCAGGUUUAUAGUCAGGGCUGGCUCAGGUUUGUAGUUAGGGCUGGCUCAGGUUUGUAGUUAGGGCUGGCUCAGGUUUAUAGUCAGGGCUGGCUCAGGUUUGUAGUUAGGGCUGGCCAGUCUGGACCAGCCCUGAGAUACGCUGCUCUAAGCUUGGACUGAGCUCCUCUCUCCUCCUUAUACCUGCUUAAUAUUUGCUCUAUUGACUUUGCUUCUUCUCUGCAGUCUCUGUGCUUUCUCUGUCCAGAGGUUUCUGUGGAUGGUGGUUAUAUGUGGACAGCGGUUGCUCCUGACGUGGACAUCCACUGCGACUCUCAUUAUCAGCAGAUGCAUCACUAUUCAUGACACCAUUACUGGACAUGGACAUGUGGGACGAGUGAUUCAGGAUUAUAACUGUAGUUUUUUUGUCAAUUUGGUUUGAUUUCUCAGGGCAGAUUUGCUUUCCUCUCUGUCUGAUGCUGAGAUCUGGUUCCAACAGUAUUGUCGGCCUCAGCGCCUCACAUCUCAAACACACCUGUACCUGUCUGGUGCUUACCUGUGGUGAGCCUCUGCUUGAUGCGAUGCCAGGUUUACAGAGCGCCUCUGAAGCUGAUAUCAACCUGCAUUCUAUUAAAUUGUGUGAACUUUGUGUGAAUAUGCUUAAAUGGAGUAACUGAUAUUUUGAGUUUUAGAGAAUAUGGAAAAGAUGAACUUAUACAAAUCACUAUUUAAUAAUUGUUUUAUUACUUUAUAUAAUAAACCACAAUGUCUCAUCCAAUGGCAUACUGCAUUUUAUGCACAUAUGUGUAUAUAGUUUAUAUGAAUAGUUGUAAAAAGUCCAUUCUAGUA